rnacentral:tRNA from 1 species
GCAACGGUGGUGUAAGGUAGCGUCGCUUCCCGGAAAGCAGAAGGUGCGGGCUCGAGUCCCGCCUGGUGCA